rnacentral:rRNA from 1 species
UACGGGGGGAGCAAGCGUUGUUCGGAUUUACUGGGCGUAAAGGGCGCGUAGGCGGCCACCGCAAGUCGGUUGUGAAAUCUCUGGGCUUAACCCAGAAAGGUCAACCGAUACUGCGGGCUAGAGUGCAGAAGGGGCAACUGGAAUUCUCGGUGUAGCGGUGAAAUGCGUAGAUAUCGAGAGGAACACCUGCGGCGAAGGCGGGUUGCUGGGCUGACACUGACGCUGAAGCGCGAAAGCUAGGGGAGCGAACGGG